CACGUAGGGGGCGAGCGUUGUCCGGAUUUAUUGGGCGUAAAGAGCUCGUAGGCGGUUUCGUUAGUCGGGUGUGAAAACCCCCAGGCUCAACCUGGGGACGCCACCCGAUACUGCGAUACUAGAGUCCGGUAGGGGAGUGUGGAAUUCCUGGUGUAGCGGUGGAAUGCGCAGAUAUCAGGAGGAACACCGAUGGCAAGGCAGUUCUCUGGGCCGUAACUGACGCUGAGGAGCGAAAGCGUGGGGAGCGAACAGG
rnacentral:rRNA from 1 species